GACGAACGCUGGCGGCGUGCUUAACACAUGCCAGUCGAACGGAAAGGCCCUGCUUUUGUGGGGUGCUCGAGUGGCGAACGGGUGAGAAACACGUGAGUAACCUGCCCUUGACUUUGGGAUAAUUUCAGGAAACUGGGGCUAAUACCGGUUAGGAGCUCCUGCUGCAUGGUGGGGGUUGGAAAGUUUCGGCGGUUGGGGAUGGACUCGCGGCUUAUCAGCCUGUUGGUGGGGUAGUGGCUUACCAAGGCUUUGACGGGUAGCCGGCCUGAGAGGGUGACCGGCCACAUUGGGACUGAGAUACGGCCCAGACGCCUACGGGAGGCAUCAGUGGUGAAUGUUGCACAAUGGGCGGAAGCCUGAUGCAGCAACGCCGCGUGCGGGAUGACGGCCUUCGGGUUGUAAACCGCUUUCGCCUGUGACGAAGCGUGAGUGACGGUAAUGGGUAAAGAAGCACCGGCUAACUACGUG
rnacentral:rRNA from 1 species